AUGGCGAACUAGAUUAUCAAGUGCAAGGCUGCAGUUGCCUGGGAGGCUGGAAAGCCUCUCUCCAUAGAGGAGAUAGAGGUGGCACCCCCAAAGGCUCAUGAAGUUCGAAUCAAGAUCUUUGCCUCUGCAGUUUGCCACACCGACACCUACACCCUGAGCGGAGCUGAGCCUGAGGGUUGUUUUCCAGUGAUCUUGGGACACGAAGGUGCUGGAAUUGUGGAAAAGUGUUGAUGAGGGAGUUACUAAGCUGAAGGCGUGUGAUAACUGUCAUCCCACUUUACAUCCCACAGUGUGGAGAAUGCAAAUUUUGUCUAAAUCCUAAAACUAACCUUUGCCAGAAGAUAAGAAUCACUCAAGGGAAAGGAUUAAUGCCAGAUGGUACCAGCAGAUUUGCUUGCAAAGGAGAGACGAUUUUAUAUUGCAUGCGAACCAGCACAUUUUCUGAAUGCACAGUUGUGGCUGAUAUCUCUGUUGCUAAAAUAGAUUCUUUAGCACCUUUGGAUAAAGUCUGCCUUCUAGGUUGUGGCAUUUCAGCUGGUUAUGCUGCUGCUGUGAACACAGCCAAGUUGGAGCCUGGCUCUGUUUGUGCCAUCUUUGGCCUGGGAGGAGUUGGAUUGGCAGUUAUGGGUGGUAAAGUGGCUGGUGCAUCCGGGAAUCAUUGGUGUGGACGUCAAUCAAGAUAAAUUUCCAAGGGCCAAUGAGUUUGGAGCCACUGAAUGUAUUAACCCUCAGGAUUUUAGUAAACCCAUCCAAGAAGUACUCACUGAGAUGACUGAUGUAGGAGUGGACUAUUCCUUUGAAUGUAUUAGGAAUACAUUAGAGCAGCACUUGAGGCAUGUCACAAGGGCUGGGACAUCAGCGUAGUGGUUGGAGUCACUGCUUCAGGUGAAGAAAUUGCCGCUCGUCCAUUCCAGCUGGUAACAGGUCACACAUGGAAAGGCACUGCCUUUGGAGGAUGAAAGACUGUAGAAAGUGUCCCAAAGUUGGUGUCUGAAUAUAUGUCCCAAAAAGAUAAAAGUUGAUGAAUUUGUGACUCACGGUCUGUCUUUUGAUGAAAUUAACGAAGCCUUUGAACUGAUGCAUUCUGGAAAGAGCAUUCGAACUGUUGUCAAGAUUUAAUUCAAAAGAGAAAAACAACGUCCAUCCUGUCGUAAUGCGACGGGAGCAGCCUAACAGGCAGGGAGAAGCGCCUCCUAGACCUUCAGCAGUUACUCCAGAGAACGGUGUGAUGUGUGUCAUUCAUGAAUCUCUGUAAUCAAGGACAAGGAUAAUUCAGUCAUGGACCUGUUUUCUGGACUCUCCUCCACAUGAAUAAUUGCCAGCUCAUUAAGGAAUAUUUUAACAUAAUAAAAUUAAUUUCUAC